CUCUUGUCUUGGCGUCCUUCUUCGCAUCCCUUGUCCCCCAUUCUCUUCCAGGUACCCUCACACCCGUCGCUUACAAAUGGCACCCAGCAUGCAGCUGUUUGGAGGUCUCCUAGAGGAGAACAUUGUCCCCCGUUAAUAGGCAGGCCUGUCUUCCUUGUUUGUCGGAGCCUUUGCUCCCCCGCUUCUGGCAACCAUGGACUGCCCGACCUUUGUUCAGAGGCUUGGUGUGUGUUUCUCCUAGGACAACACAGAUCUCAGUGCUUCUGGGCACUGAUCCAAAGAAGGAGCCCAGGGAGGCACUGAACACGGUGCAGGGCACACGCGACUUCAUCUACAGCCUGCACUCCACCGAGAGGAGCUGCUUGCUCGAAGAACUGCACCACUUAGAGUCCAUUGCUGUCCCACAAGAAGAACUGGAAGCUCUGUCACCCACUCCAGGACGGCUGAGAUAUGUGUUCUUCCACAAUGCGAUAGCUUUCUUAGGGUUUGGCUUUUUGGAUAAUGCAAUUAUGAUUGUUACAGGAACCCAAGUUGAAUUGCCUAUUAGAAUUAUUUGGGGAUUGUCAACAAUGUCAAUCAACAUGGUAUUUUUUUCCUUCUAUGUAUCAACAUAUUAUUUAACUUUCAGUUAUUGAUAUUGUA